rnacentral:ncRNA from 2 species
GCGCAGCAUCAAGAGUUGGAGUGCGACGCUCCGACGCCAACCUGCCGGCAACCGGGCAAGGUGGCGCCUUCCGCAAAAGGGGAAGGGAUGUGGCCGCAGCGGCAACCAAGCGGAGCCAA